rnacentral:rRNA from 1 species
GAAUUGAAGCCCCAGUAAACGGCGGCCGUAACUAUAACGGUCCUAAGGUAGCGAAAUUCCUUGUCAGGUAAGUUCUGACCCGCACGAAUGGCGUAAUGAUUUGGGCACUGUCUCAACAGCCCGCCCGGCGAAAUUGUAGUACUGGUGAAGAUGCCAGUUACCCGCAACUAGACGGAAAGACCCCAUGGAGCUUUACUGCAGCUUAAUACUGAAAUUCGGUAGUACAUGUACAGGAUAGGUGGGAGACUGAGAAAUACAGGCGUCAGCUUGUAUGGAGUCGCUGUUGGGAUACCACUCUUGUACUGCUGGGUUUCUAACCUGCGGCCGUGAAUCCGGUCGGGGGACACUGUUAGGCGGGCAGUUUGACUGGGGCGGUCGCCUCCAAAAGAGUAACGGAGGCGCUCAAAGGUUCGUUCAGCACGGACGGAAAUCGUGCAUUGAGUGUAAACGCAUAAACGAGCCUAACUGCGAGACCGACGGGUCGAGCAGUAACGAAAGUUGGAGUUAGUGAUCCGGUGGUAUGUGAGUGGAAAUGCCAUCGCUCAACGGAUAAAAGCUACCCUGGGGAUAACAGGCUGAUCUCCCCCAAGAGUCCACAUCGACGGGGAGGUUUGGCACCUCGAUGUCGGCUCAUCGCAUCCUGGGGCUGAAUUCGGUCCCAAGGGUUUGGCUGUUCGCCAAUUAAAGCGGCACGCGAGCUGGGUUCAGAACGUCGUGAGACAGUUCGGUCCCUAUCUGUUGCGGGCGUAAGAGAUUUGAAGGGAGCUGUCCUUAGUACGAGAGGACCGGGAUGGACGUACCUCUGGUGCACCAGUUGUCCUGCCAAGGGCAUAGCUGGGUAGCUAUGUACGGACGAGAUAAACGCUGAAAGCAUCUAAGCGUGAAACUCCCCCUAAGAUGAGAUCUCUCAUCCUUCAAGGAGUAAGGACCCAGAAAGACGAUCUGGUUGAUAGGCCGAAGGUGGAAGCGCAGUAAUGUGUGCAGCUGAUCGGUACUAAUAGUCCGAGGGCUUGACCUA